rnacentral:rRNA from 1 species
UCUGACGGAGCACGCCGCGUGAGUGAUGAAGGUUUUCGGAUCGUAAAGCUCUGUUGUUAGGGAAGAACAAGUACCGUUCGAAUAGGGCGGUACCUUGACGGUACCUAACCAGAAAGCCACGGCUAACUACGUGCCAGCAGCCGCGGUAAUACGUAGGUGGCAAGCGUUGUCCGGAAUUAUUGGGCGUAAAGGGCUCGCAGGCGGUUUCUUAAGUCUGAUGUGAAAGCCCCCGGCUCAACCGGGGAGGGUCAUUGGAAACUGGGGAACUUGAGUGCAGAAGAGGAGAGUGGAAUUCCACGUGUAGCGGUGAAAUGCGUAGAGAUGUGGAGGAACACCAGUGGCGAAGGCGACUCUCUGGUCUGUAACUGACGCUGAGGAGCGAAAGCGUGGGGAGCGAACAGGAUUAGAUACCCCCGGUAGUCCA